rnacentral:tRNA from 1 species
UGUCAGUGAAGUCUGUUAUGAUAUGGGGCCUAUGACUCCAUGGCGGGAUUAGUUCCUUCUGAUAA